rnacentral:rRNA from 1 species
CCUACGGGAGGCAGCAGUGAGGAAUAUUGGUCAAUGGACGAGAGUCUGAACCAGCCAAGUAGCGUGAAGGAUGACUGCCCUAUGGGUUGUAAACUUCUUUUAUAUGGGAAUAAAAUGUUCCACGUGUGGGAUUUUGUAUGUACCAUAUGAAUAAGGAUCGGCUAACUCCGUACCAGCAGCCGCGGUAAUACGGAGGAUCCGAGCGUUAUCCGGAUUUAUUGGGUUUAAAGGGAGCGUAGGUGGAUUGUUAAGUCAGGUGUGAAAGUUUGCGGCUCAACCGUAAAAUUGCAGUUGAAACUGGCAGUCUUGAGUACAGGAGAGGUGGGCGGAAUUCGUGGUGUAGCGGUGAAAUGCUUAGAUAUCACGAAGAACUCCGAUUGCGAAGGCAGUUCACUGGACUGCAACUGACGCUGAGGCUCGAAAGUGUGGGUAUCAAACAGGAUUAGAUACCCUUGUAGUC